GAGUUUGAUCAUGGCUCAAAUUGAACGCUGGCGGCAUGCCUUACACAUGCAAGUCGGACGGCAGCACGGGAGCAAUCCUGGUGGCGAGUGGCGAACGGGUGAGUAAUACAUCGGAACGUGUCCUGGAGUGGGGGAUAGCCCGGCGAAAGCCGGAUUAAUACCGCAUACGCUCUGAGGAGGAAAGCGGGGGAUCUUUCGGGACCUCGCGCUCAAGGGGCGGCCGAUGGCAGAUUAGCUAGUUGGUGGGGUAAAGGCCUACCAAGGCGACGAUCUGUAGCUGGUCUGAGAGGACGACCAGCCACACUGGGACUGAGACACGGCCCAGACUCCUACGGGAGGCAGCAGUGGGGAAUUUUGGACAAUGGGCGCAAGCCUGAUCCAGCAAUGCCGCGUGUGUGAAGAAGGCCUUCGGGUUGUAAAGCACUUUUGUCCGGAAAGAAAACUUCUGGGUUAAUACCCUGGGAGGAUGACGGUACCGGAAGAAUAAGCACCGGCUAACUACGUGCCAGCAGCCGCGGUAAUACGUAGGGUGCAAGCGUUAAUCGGAAUUACUGGGCGUAAAGCGUGCGCAGGCGGUUUUGUAAGUCAGAUGUGAAAUCCCCGGGCUUAACCUGGGAACUGCGUUUGAAACUACAAGGCUAGAGUGUGGCAGAGGGGGGUGGAAUUCCACGUGUAGCAGUGAAAUGCGUAGAGAUGUGGAGGAACACCGAUGGCGAAGGCAGCCCCCUGGGUUAACACUGACGCUCAGGCACGAAAGCGUGGGGAGCAAACAGGAUUAGAUACCCUGGUAGUCCACGCCCUAAACGAUGUCAACUAGUUGUCGGGUCUUAACGGGCUUGGUAACGCAGCUAACGCGUGAAGUUGACCAAUCACUA
rnacentral:rRNA from 1 species